rnacentral:rRNA from 1 species
AUGGAGAAGUACAUGGAACGUGUGCAGUUACUAGCGCCACUCUGGAUUAUUCUUCUCGUUUGCUUUGUUGCUCAUGUUCAAUGUGGGAGUAUUGAAGACAUAGGUAACGAGAAGAUCAGUCUACCAUAUGGAUUGUGUGGACCACCUAAAAUAAAAUGCAAUGACGGCUAUUGUUGGUGUUGUUUCGUGGAUCCCAAAUACUAUUGCUAUCCCACGCCUGAAGAAUGUGAUAAGGAAUGCCGCAAACAUUCUUCACUUAACAUAGUGGAGGCAGCGCCAGCCUCCUCCACCCUCCCACCAAAGUGA